rnacentral:lncRNA from 10 species
GCAUUCUCCUCGGAACCCCAGCUGCUGAGGAGACAGCAGGCGGGGACUGGAACUCUGUGUGCGAGCGAUUCGGUGCCUGGUUUUACCAGGGCCCCAGGGGCCAAAUGAAGCAAACCAAAAGCAAAGAGAGAGCACAAGCAGCAACUAGAGACAAUGCCAGGGUCCUGGGAACGCAAACAGAAGCGCGGCCAGCUUCCGACAGGACCCCUGCCGGGGGCCCACAGCCCCUGCGCUACCUCUCGGCGAUCAGAGACCAAGUCUAGCCCUAGAACGAAGACCCGACGCGAGUCUUCGCCGUUCGUCUCAAAACAGAAAUAAACUGGCCACGUCACCGGGCUGCUGAGAAGGGGGCUCGGGAGACCAGCUCGGGUCGUUCUGCGAGGCGGGGUCGGAGGUCGCGGCUGGGAGACUGGGGCACAGACCUCGUUCUCAGGCCAGUCGGCGGGAGCGGAGGCCGCGCCAGAGACAGCAUCGAGGCCGCGAGCGCAGGACCAGGAGGGACGCCCAAGGCCCUCGGGGAGGAGGCCCGGGUUUCAGGGCCGGGGGCCGGCGGACACCGGAUAAAGGACGGCCGGGGUCUCCCGGCGUCCCGGGAGGGGGCGGGGCGGAGGCGUGGGGACCAAGAGCGGCGUCCCGCACGCGCCUGGCAGGGAGCAGGGACGGGGAAGGGGGAACAGACCCCAGUGCCCGCUGAGGCGCCGGCUCCGCCGCUGCAGCCGCUGCCACCUCACAGCCCCUGUCCGCAGCUUCCUCUUCCGCUGCCUGUCAGUCACCCGUCUCUAUGGUGACCGCAUCCGGCCGCUCGCUCCGCCCGCGCGUUCUCUAUGGUCGCUCCCACGGCCUCUCAGCACCGCGCACCUCCUCGGCUGGGAUCCGGGCUGCCUGGCCCCAACCGGCCGCCCCCCGAUAAGACGCGUUCGCCCCCACAUACGCGAAUCCAGGCAAAUCCAGAGUGGACCAAAGCUGCCCCGUAACUUGGGCUGAACACCAUCUGCCCUGGAAAAAGCAUACCCCCACCCUCGAGAGCGCUUUUCUCCCAAUUGGCUGUGGAAUCCCAUCAGCCUUUCAGUUGCCUAAGAAAUGUUUGUUGUUUGCCAGGCACGUACGUUCAUCUAAGGAUGCUAAGUUCCGGGCAUCUUCGUGAGUGCUGGGUAAACAAGCGGUGGACGAGAUGGGCAUGGUCCCUGCUCUCAGGGAACUGAAAGUUGAGGGAGACAGGUAAUAAACACGCUUGACAUAGCAAGAAUAAAACAGGUAGAAAUCCCAGUCUGAUAAGUACCAUUGCAGAAAAGCACAGAGUCCUGUGGAAAAACUAAACAAAGUAUUAAAUUAGACUGGGAAUUUGGCAAUGCUGAGAUCCAAAGGUUCAGGAAAAGUUAUCCAGACAUGAAGUGGACAGUUUUCCAGGCAAAGAAAAGAGCACCAGAAUGUCCUGAGAGAGGAAAGAGAUUGGCUUGGAGAAGAACUGGGAAGGCCCAGGGCAUCUUUGAGCCUGGUGAGGGGAGAACAGCCCAAGGUAAGGCUGGGGAACAGGGAACAGGUAAAGCAUUCAGACCACCACAGUGGUUCCCCAACCAGAAUGGCACCCUCCCUAAGGAGCAAUUUGGAAAUGUUCGGGGCAAUUUUGUUGUCAAAUGAUUGGGGGAGAGGAGCCAAGGAGGCUCCAUGUCUUGCACAUUGCAAGAUGGUAUCACACAAGAAAACUGUCCUGAUCCCACACAGCUUUCACAUGUCCUACUGAAUAUUCAUAUAGGUUAAAAAAAAACUGGUUAUAAUCA